rnacentral:rRNA from 1 species
GACGAACGCUGGCGGCGUGCUUAACACAUGCAAGUCGAACGGAAAGGCCCUGCUUUUGUGGGGUGCUCGAGUGGCGAACGGGUGAGUAACACGUGAGUAACCUGCCCUGGACUUUGGGAUAACUUCAGGAAACUGGGGCUAAUACCGGAUAGGAGCUCCUGCUGCAUGGUGGGGGUUGGAAAGUUUCGGCGGUUGGGGAUGGACUCGCGGCUUAUCAGCUUGUUGGUGGGGUAGUGGCUUACCAAGGCUUUGACGGGUAGCCGGCCUGAGAGGGUGACCGGCCACAUUGGGACUGCGAUACGGCCCAGACUCCUACGGGAGGCAGCAGUGGGGAAUAUUGCCCAAUGGGCGGAAGCCUGAUGCAGCAACGCCGCGUGCGGGAUGUCGGCCUUCGGGUUGUAAACCGCUUUCGCCUGUGACGAAGCGUGAGUGACGGUAAUGUGUAAAGAAGCACCGGCUAACUGCGUG